AGUUUGAUCCUGGCUCAGGACGAACGCUGGCGGCGUGCCUAAUACAUGCAAGUCGAGCGGACAGAUGGGAGCUUGCUCCCUGAUGUUAGCGGCGGACGGGUGAGUAACACGUGGGUAACCUGCCUGUAAGACUGGGAUAACUCCGGGAAACCGGGGCUAAUACCGGAUGCUUGUUUGAACCGCAUGGUUCAAACAUAAAAGGUGGCUUCGGCUACCACUUACAGAUGGACCCGCGGCGCAUUAGCUAGUUGGUGAGGUAAUGGCUCACCAAGGCRACGAUGCGUAGCCGACCUGAGAGGGUGAUCGGCCACACUGGGACUGAGACACGGCCCAGACUCCUACGGGAGGCAGCAGUAGGGAAUCUUCCGCAAUGGACGAAAGUCUGACGGAGCAACGCCGCGUGAGUGAUGAAGGUUUUCGGAUCGUAAAGCUCUGUUGUUAGGGAAGAACAAGUACCGUUCGAAUAGGGCGGUACCUUGACGGUACCUAACCAGAAAGCCACGGCUAACUACGUGCCAGCAGCCGCGGUAAUACGUAGGUGGCAAGCGUUGUCCGGAAUUAUUGGGCGUAAAGGGCUCGCAGGCGGUUCCUUAAGUCUGAUGUGAAAGCCCCCGGCUCAACCGGGGAGGGUCAUUGGAAACUGGGGAACUUGAGUGCAGAAGAGGAGAGUGGAAUUCCACGUGUAGCGGUGAAAUGCGUAGAGAUGUGGAGGAACACCAGUGGCGAAGGCGACUCUCUGGUCUGUAACUGACGCUGAGGAGCGAAAGCGUGGGGAGCGAACAGGAUUAGAUACCCUGGUAGUCC
rnacentral:rRNA from 2 species